ensembl:snoRNA U3 Small nucleolar RNA U3
AUGAUUGUGCCACUGCAAACUCUACCCCUAAAAAACAAAAACACAGUUUUAAAAUGGUGCAGCCCCGGAAACCACAAGGAGGAGGUUCAGUAUUCUCUCCGGAGCGUGAAGUUGGCUCUUGAUGUUGCUUCACUGCAACUGCUGUUUGCCAUUGAUGAUUGUUCUUCUCUUCCUCUUAGAGAGUAAGAGGGAGAGGAGGCAGUCUGAGUGGU